ACUCGAUAAUCCACGAAUACCAAACCUUCUCUAGACUAACACAGCAUGUAUACUGCCGUUGUAAGCAUACCUUUAAAAGAACAAGUAUGCUGCUAUGACUAAAUAAUUAGCUCAAAUACAUCAGGUCAAAGUGCAGCCCAUAAGAAGGUGAUGAUGGGUUACAACCCAAAAAUAGACUAUCAACUAAGGAAUAAAAAAUCUUACGAAAGUGGACUUGACCGUAAUCAAUUUUAAAAUAAAAAAAUGAAUAAAAUCUAAGACAUGUACACAUCGCCCGUCACUCUAUCCUAAAGGUUAGAUAAGUCGUAACAAAGUAGGUGUAAUGGAAAUUGUGCCUGUCGAAGUAUAGCAUAUAUAAUGCUUUUUACUUACACUAAAAAAAAAGUUAAAUAACUUGCUUCGCCCAACCACAACAAUCUUAUAAAACACCAAAUAAUAUAAACAACUAAAUAAAUACUAACCAAUAGACGAGAGUACAGAAAUGGAAAAAACAAUAAAUAAAAGUAAAUAUUAACAACUAUACCUUGUGCAUUAUGGUUUUACAAGAAAAUAGCUAAAACAAUUACCCGAAUUCUAAAUGAGAUGUUAAACUACUGUUAUGAACCCACUAAUAACUGUAGAAGAAGUUUUAAAAGAUAGUUUAACAGAGGCUACAUACCACACGCAUAAGAAUAUAGCUGGUUUUCAACAAAUAUUAUAUAUUAAAACAUAUAAUUAAUUUAUAGUGUAAUAUUAUUGAGGAUAAGCCCAAUAAUCCUAGCAAUAUAAACCACAAUCCAUCGCAUAGAAUAGGCCUAAAAUCAGCCAACAACAAUACUUCACCGUAAGAGAUGUUGAAAUCAAUUUAUAACACGCAUAUGCUAAAGAAAGUUGAAAUAAUGGACAAACACUACAACCCAUUUAUAUUAUGUAAAAAUAAGUAUUAUAUAACAAAACAAUUAACUUCCUAAACAUCGGCAGCCAAUAAAACAACAAUAAUUAGUUAAGGAACUCGGCAAAAGUUAUUUCGACUGUUUAACAAAAACAUUGUCUCAUGAAAACACA
rnacentral:rRNA from 1 species